GAUGAACGCUCGCUACAGGCUUAACACAUGCAAGUCGAGGGGAAACGGCAUUGAGUGCUUGCACUCUUUGGACGUCGACCGGCGCACGGGUGAGUAACGCGUAUCCAACCUUCCCAUUACUGUGGGAUAACCUGCCGAAAGGCAGACUAAUACCGCAUAGUCUUCGAUGACGGCAUCAGAUUUGAAGUAAAGAUUUAUCGGUAAUGGAUGGGGAUGCGUCUGAUUAGCUUGUUGGCGGGGUAACGGCCCACCAAGGCUACGAUCAGUAGGGGUUCUGAGAGGAAGGUCCCCCACAUUGGAACUGAGACACGGUCCAAACUCCUACGGGAGGCAGCAGUGAGGAAUAUUGGUCAAUGGACGGAAGUCUGAACCAGCCAAGUAGCGUGCAGGAUGACGGCCCUAUGGGUUGUAAACUGCUUUUGUAUGGGGAUAAAGUUAGGGACGGGUCCCUAUUUGCAGGUACCAUACGAAUAAGGACCGGCUAAUUCCGUG
rnacentral:rRNA from 1 species